rnacentral:rRNA from 1 species
UAGGGAAUCUUCGGCAAUGGACGGAAGUCUGACCGAGCAACGCCGCGUGAGUGAAGAAGGUUUUCGGAUCGUAAAGCUCUGUUGUUAGAGAAGAACGUUGGUAGGAGUGGAAAAUCUACCAAGUGACGGUAACUAACCAGAAAGGGACGGCUAACUACGUGCCAGCAGCCGCGGUAAUACGUAGGUGCCGAGCGUUGUCCGGAUUUAUUGGGCGUAAAGCGAGCGCAGGCGGUUCUUUAAGUCUGAAGUUAAAGGCAGUGGCUUAACCAUUGUACGCUUUGGAAACUGGAUGACUUGAGUGCAGAAGGGGAGGGUGGAAUUCCAUGUGUAGCGGUGAAAUGCGUAGAUAUAUGGAAGAACACCGGUGGCGAAAGCGGCUCUCUGGUCUGUAACUGACGCUGAGGCUCGAAAGCGUGGGGAGCAAACAGG